rnacentral:tRNA from 1 species
CUGAGGAUAGCUUAAGUUGAAAGCUUAGAAUUCUUACUUCUGGGAUAUCUGUGAUGAUUCUUCAGG